rnacentral:misc_RNA from 1 species
AUACCAUCGUAUAUUCGUAUCGUUCCAUCGCUGGUCGUCUCUUUCGGCCCCCAUCGAUCCAUUGUUCCCGGCCAUGGUCCUCACCAGUAGGCAGUGGAGUGGUCUCAAGCAAUUAGGAGCUCGACGAUGGCGCCUCCAAGGCCGCGGCCUCCAUGGCUGGGGCCACCAUGCCGACGGCACCAACACCGGGGGCUACCGUGGUGGUGGAUCUAUGGAUGGCGGCUCCCAUGACAGCGCAACCAAGGGCACCGGGGGCUCCUGCAGCGGUGGAUCCAAGGCUGCAGCCUCCAUGGCUGGGGCCACCCACGACGUCGCAAACAAGACUACGACCUCCCAUGAUAUCGCCACCAAGCAUGGGGGCUCUGCGCCGCGGCAUCCACAGGCGGGGCCAUCCUCGCCGGCGCCUCCAUAGAUAACCCCAUUAUGUUGAGGAGGCCUACUGCUAUUGAACAUCUAGUUGCCUGUACAGAUAUGAUUUAGUCUAUGAUCACUACUAACUAAUUAGUGUUAGACUAUGACCAGUAGUCAAUAAUCAGUUACAGAUAUAUUUUAGUGACCAUUUCUAGUCUAUGAGCAGUAAUAACAAAUCAAAUGACUUGAAUUAUUUCGUUG